GACGAACGCUGGCGGCGUGGAUUAGGCAUGCAAGUCGAACGGUAUCAUCCUUUCGGGGGUGAGAGAGUGGCGAACUGGUGAGUAACACGUAGGUUAUCUACCCUCAAGACGGGGACAACCCAGGGAAACUUGGGCUAAUACCGGAUGUGAGCAACUUUUAGUUGUUUGAAAGGUGGCGUAAGCUGUCGCUUGGGGAUGAGCCUGCGUCCUAUUAGUUAGUUGGUGAGGUAACGGCUCACCUAGGCAAUGAUAGGUAGGCGGCCUUAACGGGUGGUCGCCCACACUGGGAUUGAGAUACGGCCCAGACUCCUACGGGAGGCAGCAGUCGAGAAUAGUCUACAAUGGUCGGAAGACUGAUAGUGCGACGCCGCGUGAACGAUGAAUCCCUUCGGGGUGUAAAGUUCUUUUAUAUGUGAGCAGUGCUUCUUAUAUUAACAGUAUGGGGAGAGAGAUAUUAGCAUAUGAAUAAGCAACGGCUAACUCCGUGCCAGCAAGCCGCGGUAAACUCGU
rnacentral:rRNA from 1 species